rnacentral:ncRNA from 1 species
UUAGCGAUAGGCCAGCAACCUUUGGCUCCCCACACGGUUGUGGCCGGCUACACGGGAAGGAGCCCCUCUGCUUACAAGUUUGCUAAGGAUUGGCAGCAGNUUGGGCCACACACGUGCUACAAUGGCAAUUACAAUGGGAAGCAAGGCUGUAAGGCGAAGCGAAUCCGAAAAGAUUGCCUCAAUUCGGAUUGUUCUCUGCAACUCGGGAACAUGAAGUUUGAAUCGCUAGUAAUCGCGGAUCAGCAUGCCGCAGUGAAUAUGUACCCGGGCCCUGUACACACCGCCCGUCACACCCUGGGAAUUGGUUUCGCCCGAAGCAUCGGACCAAUGAUCACCCAUGACUUCUGUGGCACACUAGUGCCAUAAAGGCCUUUGGUGGUCUUAUUGGCGCAUACCAUGGUGGGGUCUUCGACUGGGGUGAAGUUGUAACAAGGUAGCCGUAGGGGAACCUGUGGCUG